rnacentral:lncRNA from 1 species
UUCAAUGACAAUAGUGGUCGAAUUUUUCAUCCUUCUAAAAAUCAUAAAAACAGGCCUAUUUAGUUGCUUUCAGUACUUUUUGAACAAUUCAGCACAUUGUAACAAAACAACGUUGAAAAUGUUGGUAAUGACUAUCUUACUAGGAAGAAAUAAUACCAUUAUAUCUCUAAUUACAGGCUUUCAAGAGCACGGAGGGUGUUGGAAAAUGCCUUUGGCAUACUAGCAAACCGCUGGCGUGUCUUCACCACAAAAAUCCACCUGCAGCCAGAGACUGUGGACAAGAUUGUCCUCGCCUGCACCGUGCUGCACAAUGUCCUACGUGACCAGUGUGGUGAUGGCCCUGGUGAACAUGGUCCAACCCUUGCCCAGGCUGCACUACCACGCAGCACAAACACCACUCUGCAGGCUAAGAGGAACAGAGACAUCCUCUGCAAUUACAUGUGCUCAGACGCUGGUGCUGUAGCAUGGCAGUGGGACAAAAUGUAAUCAUGUGUGUGGGUGUAAUUAAUAAUCAAGCUGUAUUAUAUUCAAUUGUUUUAUAUUUCAUAUUCCAGCACAGAUCAAUUGUAUAUAGUUAUAUGUAGCCUAUUCUAUUAUCCAUCUCCAAGUAGUAGUUGAGCCGAUUGUAAACAAAGACAGAUAAAACUGAAAUUUAACUAACAGGAAAUGCAAUGUAUCCAACAACGGGUAAUUUAAACAAACUGUAAACUCCAGCUAUUUACUCCAAUGCAGAUGUAGUGAAGAAUGACAACAAGACACAGUAACUCUAGCCUACUCUUGAUACCUAGGCCCAUAAUAUGUGUGAUAAGUUUUACUUUAAAUAAAUACCUUUUCAUUCACGUUGGAAGAAGAAGCUCUCUUCCUUAUAUAUGGCUCCAGGAAAGAGAGCCUCCUGAGAACCCAGUCCUGCCUGCCAGUUCUCCUACCGGCACUCCCCGAAGCUGGUGCCUUGCUGUACCGAUUGUACUGAGUCCUGAGGGAGUGGAUUUUCUUUCCCACCUCUUUUUCUGAAAAAGAGAGUAGCCUAAUGUUAGCAAAAAAACAUCGCACAUUUUAAACUAAAGACUAUUUGUCAAACAUCUUUGACCCCACAAAGCAUUAGCGGAUGGAGUAGGACUAUUACCAGCAGUAAAUAUUUAUUUAUUAAGCCUACCCGCUUUCCAAUAGGCAUUUUUAGUCC